AUCAACUCUUAGAAUCUACUGCUAUAACGAAAAAGAUAAUGCCGAACGUCUGGUACCUGGCUCCUCCUCCCAAACGCUUUAUCUAACACUGGUCGUGUAGCAUGUAGUCCUGCCACGUCACGGAGUAUCUUUGCUCACUGGUCCCCUGCCACGACACGUUUCUCGUACGUUCGGUACGUGUCACCCGAACGAGUGGAGACUGCAUUGGCACCUUAUCCUUUUCCAGCAGGCUCGUUUGCUCCUUCCCAAUCCUUCAUUUCUAAUCAGAGGAGAGUGAGGCGAGCUGGCCGGGCUGCUCUUUGUCGGGGACGUCGCUGUUUACUUGCCCGCGCCAACGGCCAGCUACUCGCCGGGAUUCGCGGUGUGCCCAUGUACAGCCGCCUUCCAGAAGCCAUCUGAGGGGCGGCCCCGCGACGCUCACGCGGAGGUCCCGACUUAGAAGUUGGACGAGCCUGUGUGGCUCGCGGCUGAGCUGCUCUUCGCCGGGGUCACCGUCGUCUCCGUGCGCCACGCUGACAGGAAGCUAGUUGCCGAGUUCCCGGGGAUUCGCUGCGCACCCAGGUACUCCGCCGCCUCCCCAGUAGCUGUCCGAGCUGCGGAUCGCGACGUGCAUGCGAAUGUGCAAUGGCUCCGUUGGUCCGAUGAGCAUGGCUGCCGGCCAUGGCCGUGGUCGUGUGCCAUUGCCUCUCCUGCUGGAAGGACGGAGGCUCGCGGCCAAGAUCCGGGGAGAAGCUCCGUGACAACGAGCUCCUCUAGGAGCAGGGCGAGCACGUACUCCAAGAGCACGAUGACGACGACAAGCUUGAGGCUCCUUCGGGCGACCUUAACGAGGAGGAGGGUGGCAGCUGGAUGAGGGUUAAAAUCACGCCGGAGUCACCGUGCUGUCCUCUGACGACACAGCCGGCGCCCCAUGAUCUUCAGGACGACGGCGGCGCGACAGCUGGACCUCCAUGCCAGCCUGUCCAGCCAAACUCCACAAGCUGCAGCUCACGAAUCCAAUCCAAGAAACGUCCUGCCAGCUAGUGCCAUGGUUCCCCAACGGAAGGAGCAGGGAGUUCUAGCAACGCAUUAUACAAGGAGCUAUGGCAUGCUUGGGCUAGGCUGUUGAUCACAGUGCCUCGCCAAGGUGAAAUGAUUUACUACUUUCCGCACGUUUAUAUUGGAUCCAUGUAUUUAAAGUUCAUCCACGUACAUAUUUAGAACCUGAUAUUCUCUAGUGUGGUCAUGUAUUAGUUGAAAAAUGAAUAUCCAUCAUAGGGUACCACCUUACAUACAGUGCUUCUAGCCUUACAGGCCUCACCAGAAGUCCCUUUGCCAAGCUUCACUGUAAUGACUAACUUACUACUUGACAAACAUCUUUGCUAACUGAUAAAAGCAACAACGUAGGUAAAUAAACUGAUUUUCACAUGUUAUGACAAACUGAUUUCUUCCAGCUGACAAAAAACCAGAGAAAACAGAGUACUAAUACAUAGAGAGACUGUAUAAUUGUUAAGGCUACUUUAUGCAUUAAUUUGGGAAUAGAUCAAACAUAUCAGGAUAUACAUGAGUUGACUGCGAAGGAAACAAAUCAUCAUCUACUGAUACUGUACUAAAUGAACAUUAUCCAUUCACAUCUCCAGUAUUAUACUAUUAUACAUGACAAAGAAUGACUAACAGUACUCGUUCUUCUCUUAAAGCUGUCAAGAAAAUACAGUCAGUAGAAAAGUUAGAAGGAUUUUGAGCACUAAACUCCAGUUGUCAAUACACAGGACUGUCUACCGAUCUCCAACCGGUUAAUUUAAGGAUCAUCACAUUUACCAAUAAGGGGGCAAUUGUAUGUAAGAUGUGAUUUGCUUGCAUGCAUUUCAUAGAUAAAUAUGUGCAUAAAAGUUAGGACUUGCCUACAUACCUGGAUAUUUACAUUCACAUACAGAGACAAUAUAUCUUCAAUUCACAUGUAGGACACAAGAAUGUAUAGUCACAAACUCACAAUUCCAUGGCAGCAAAAAUCUUCGAUAAUCUGUGAACUCCAUAAACAAUGAUAUUAUAGAUCUCUUGUUUUGUUGAUAUAUUGACAUAGAGAAGAAGGAGAUUUAGUCUACAGGAGAGAAGCAACCAUCAAUGGUGUUAAUGUCACCUCUCCAUAGUACCAUCGGUCCAAAGGCACUCAAGUACAAAUCAAAACACAAAAAUGACAAAUGGCGCUGGGAGUUUGGAACCCACCCAUCCGAUUUAGAUGAUUUGGGAAAGAGAAAUGAUUUUGCCCUCUUGUGGAUUUAAAAUAGAAUUAGAAAAGUUCACUGAAAAUGAUGAAUAGGUGUUUUAAGCUCACCCAACUUCCUUAGUUUUGAAGAUGAACAAAUCCCUCUCAAAACAUAAUUUAAUUCAUCAUAUUUAUGCAGACAUUGCCAAUUCACAGGCGCGCUUUGUAGACUCAAGACCUGUAUUAUAGGUGUGCUAAUGCCUAAAGUGGCAGAACAAAUCAUGCUCCUAUGCACAUCACAACAGACAUGCAUAAACACAUCACAAAUUUCUGAAGAAAAGGGUCGGGGUGUCACAAGGCCACAUGAUUUUCAUAGGAAAGACUUCUGGUCAUGUGUCAUCUAAAAGUAUAUGCAUGCAAUGACCUUUUCUCUCUUGAUCUUGGAAACAUCUAACUGCCUGGAAAGAUGCUAGAAGCAUGAUGCAGACCCGCGGCAAAGUAUUUUUCCCCUAAGAAGCUACAGAGAGAGAGCAGUGAGCCAGUGAUCCUCACCUAGCUAGUGCGCGUGCACACACACACACACACACACACACACAAACAUCAAGCCAACACACCAUACACGCAGCAGCAGCACGCAAGCAACAAACACGCGUGUGGCGCAGCGCACACGGAGCCAGAGAUACAACCAAUAAAGCGUGGAGCAGACGGUCAUGCUUGCCGUCGAGCCCUUCACACUAAAAGGGAUCAAGGAGUAGGACAUUUCUAUUCGUAAACGUUCUCAUCGUAGGGAGUAAUUAUCAAACAGAGAAACAAAAGGAAAAGAAAAGCAAGAAGUUCCCUUUCUCCAUCCAUUUUUUAUUUUCUUUCACUUAUAUACAUCUGACCAACACACAAGCACUUUAUAAAACAUAAUUCCAAUU